CAGUCGACAGGAUCGCCUGACGCGGGCACAGCGUCCUCCAAGAGGCCACCUUGCUGAGAGGCAGACUUCCCAUCCACAAAAUGGGAACCAUCUCUUCGAAGUGGAAUAUGGAGACAAUGGCGACAGCAAAGCCAAGCAGCAUCACACUGGCCACCACCACAUCAUGCCUGGAGGAGCCAAAGCCACUGUCUCAACUAGCGGGCUGGGCUGCCACUCAUUGCUGCUCUGCCUGCUAGGCACCCUGAUUUUUUUUUUUUAAUUUUAAAUACAUUUACUUAAAUAAAUUCAAUUAAGUACAUUUAAGUUAAAAAAAAGAAAUUUAAAUAAAAAUAUGAAGUUAAUCAAAGCAUAGAUGUUGGUAGAUCUGGCCAGAACCGUGCCAUGGAACCUCACAAUUAUAUCCCACUGGCAGAGGGCACAAAUAGGCACUUCAGGUGGGUGCUGAACUUGGGGGAGUGGAGA
rnacentral:lncRNA from 1 species